CUGCUGGAGUUUAUGCAACACUAAUGCCAGGGGAACUUGUUUUUCAGUUGAGUGAUUUUAUUUUUGUUGGCAGCCCCUGACAUGGUACUGGCAUGGCGUUCAGAUGGAAGGAGGCACCGCCACCACCUCCCUCACCACGGGUGCUGUGCGGGGAGUUUAAAGCAAGGACAAUGUUUUCAGCUGAAAGGAAUCAACAAGCAAGAGCCUGGAGAGGAUGGGCUGGGCUUUCUUUAAGAAAUCCAAGCUCAUAUGUAUUAAAUGCCCUAGAUAGCAUGGAUACAGCGUGCGGGUCAUGUGGCUGGCUGAGCCAGCUGCAGGAAAUGGUUCCCCCUAUAAUGUUACUGUCUCUCCAUGUUAAAUGCUUUAAGUCUCGCAUAGUGCAAAUGAAGGUUCCCACAGCAGCAUUAACUUUUGUAUUUCCUGCUGUUCAUGUCUUCAUCUGUGCUGCUGCACGUUGCAUUAGUACAGGUUUUGGCAUGUCAUUGAUGUUUAAGGUAGGAAAGAACAGGGGGGCUGAAUGGGAAUCACAGCAAUGCACCAUGCCCUGGAAGAAUCCGUCAGUCCAGUACAUUCUACAGUUCGUCCGUCUCCACUGCAGCUUAAAGCAGCAGCAGCCCUCCACUUUCAUGCACUGUUCACUCCAUGGAUGCAGAAGAAACGUACCUGCAGCAUUAUGGAGUAAUGCUAGCAAUUCUGAAGGGAAAAUGCCUUUUCCAAUAAAGUCAAGUUUUGAUGGGAAAUUUUUGAUCAACUCUGCCCAAUGCACAGAAGUGGAGAUGCCCUCAAACCCAGAAGUUACAGAGGUGUUUGGAGGAACACCAGCCAGCUGUUCGGUAGCACGUUCAGUAAAAGACUAAUACAGUAUCUGAACCACAACAAAGUAAUCCAUGAAAGUCAAACUGGAUUCCUCCUUGACUAACAAACCACUGAUCACAUCUUGAUCAUACUGAUGCUCGUUAACCAACAUGCAAAAAAACAACAACACAGAUCAGGGGAAGCGCUUUGUCUGCCUUGUAGAAUUUCAGAAAAGCUUUUGGCGCUCAAGUGUGAACCAUAAACUGCUAUGAAAUGGAAUUGGUGGAGCAACAUAUGAACUAAUUGUCCAUCAAAUGUAUGAUGUAAAUAAGCAACGUGUGAACAGAGACCUCCAAGCAAGAAGAGGGAGUCAAUCGAGGCCAUAACCUCAUCUUGAGCCUUCCCAAUAUACACACCCGUGACUUGGAAAUCUUACUGGAAAAAUCUCCAAGCCCAGGAAUUCUACUGAGAUAAAAUGCCUAUUGUAUAUCAAUGACCUGGUCAUAUUACUACUUAGGCAACAAGGUUCCCCCAAGAAACUUACACCUGCUAGAAACCUAUUGCAUUACAAAUCAUCCUGGAAAAAACUAAAUUCAUGAUGUGUCAUAAAAUGCCCCCAAAUGACCAAAACCAACUAACAUUUUAUACAGAGACAUAGAAGUCGAACCCUAAAUUAUGCAUGCUGCAUGCAGCAGAGAGCUAUGACUGGCUAUAGAAGCAUUACAAGGGGAAAAAAAACAAACAAGAAAACGCAGGUCUUCAACACCAUUAAGGAACUGCUAGAAUAGAUACAACCUUCCAAGAAAGUUACGCUAAAACUACAUGACAAUCUAAUUCAAUCAUUCUGCUCUAUAGAAGUGAAGCCUGGGACCAGUUUUAACAGUCAAUAACACCAUCAGGACAAUACCCCAGUAGGACACCUGCAUAUCUAGUUCUGCAAACAAAUACUCCAUGUAUCCGGGAACUCCACCAACAAUAACUACAGAGCAGAACUGAGUCAACCCCACUGCUAAUCAACAUGCAAAAAAGAACGUUCCAUUUCUGGGGCCAUCUCAGCCAGAG
ensembl:lncRNA